GAGCUCGUAGCUCAGUUGGUAGAGCAAUGCACUUUUAAUGCAUGGGUCCUGGGUUCGAGCCCCAGCGAGCUCACCA
rnacentral:tRNA from 1 species